AUUGAACGCUGGCGGCAGGCUUAACACAUGCAAGUCGAGCGGAGCGAGGGUGCUUGCACCUUAGCUUAGCGGCGGACGGGUGAGUAAUGCUUAGGAAUCUGCCUAUUAGUGGGGGACAACAUUCCGAAAGGAAUGCUAAUACCGCAUACGCCCUACGGGGGAAAGCAGGGGAUCUUCGGACCUUGCGCUAAUAGAUGAGCCUAAGUCGGAUUAGCUAGUUGGUGGGGUAAAGGCCUACCAAGGCGACGAUCUGUAGCGGGUCUGAGAGGAUGAUCCGCCACACUGGGACUGAGACACGGCCCAGACUCCUACGGGAGGCAGCAGUGGGGAAUAUUGGACAAUGGGGGGAACCCUGAUCCAGCCAUGCCGCGUGUGUGAAGAAGGCCUUAUGGUUGUAAAGCACUUUAAGCGAGGAGGAGGCUACUCUAGUUAAUACCUAGGGAUAGUGGACGUUACUCGCAGAAUAAGCACCGGCUAACUCUGUGCCAGCCGCCGCCGUAACAC
rnacentral:rRNA from 1 species